AUCCAGCUGACGAGUCCCAAACAGGACGAAACGUAAGUCUUGGAU
rfam:Schistosoma margrebowiei strain Zambia genome assembly, scaffold: SMRZ_scaffold0001501